rnacentral:rRNA from 1 species
UACGGGGGGGGCAAGCGUUGUUCGGAAUUACUGGGCGUAAAGGGCGCGUAGGCGGCGACCCAAGUCAGAUGUGAAAGUCCUGGGCUUAACCUGGGGACUGCAUUUGAUACUGGGUUGCUUGAAUUCGGGAGAGGAUAGCGGAAUUCCCAGUGUAGAGGUGAAAUUCGUAGAUAUUGGGAAGAACACCGGUGGCGAAGGCGGCUAUCUGGACCGACAUUGACGCUGAGGCGCGAAAGCGUGGGGAGCAAACAGG